rnacentral:rRNA from 1 species
GACCGAUAGUGAACCAGUACGUGAGGGAAAGGUGAAAAGUACUUCGAAUAGAAGGGUGAAAUAGAUCCUGAAACCAUACGCUUACAAGCUGUCGGAGCCCUCUUAAUUUUAUUAUAUAGUAGGGUGACGACGUGCCUUUUGCAUAAUGAACCUACGAGUUAAUUUUUCCGGCAAGGUUAAGUAGUUCAGCUAUGGAGCCGUAGCGAAAGCGAGUCUGAAUAGGGCAUUUAGUCGGAAGAAUUAGACGCGAAACCGAGUGAUCUACCCAUGAGCAGGUUGAAACUGUGGUAACACAUAGUGGAGGACCGAACCGGUUGACGUUGAAAAGUCUUCGGAUGACUUGUGGGUAGGGGUGAAAGGCUAAUCAAACUCGGAGAUAGCUCGUACUCCCCGAAAUGCAUUUAGGUGCAGCAUCGUGUUAAAUAUAACAGAGGUAGAGCUACUGAUUGGAUGAAGGGGUUUCAUCACCUACUAAUUCCUGAUAAACUCCGAAUGCUGUUAUUAUGUUUCACGGUAGUGAGGGCAUGGGUGCUAAGAUCCAUGUCCAAGAGGGAAACAACCCAGACCAUCAGUUAAGGCCCCUAAGUAUAUAUUAAGUUGUAUAAACAAAGUUAAUUACACAGACAGCUAGGAUGUUGGCUUAGAAGCAG